rnacentral:lncRNA from 1 species
GUAUAAUACUCAUAUAAUACAGAAGGAGAGGAGACUCUUUUAUUCCUGGUAUAAUACUCAUAUAAUACAGAAGGAGAGGAGACGCUCUUAUUCCAGGUAUAAUACUCAUAUAAUACAGAAGGAGAGGAGACGCUCUUAUUCCAGGUAUAAUACUCAUAUAAUACAGAAGGAGAGGAGACACUCUUAUUCCAGGUAUAAUACUCAUAUAAUACAGAAGGAGAGGAGACACUCUUAUUCCAGGUAUAAUACUCAUAUAAUACGGAAGGAGAGGAGACGCUCUUAUUCCAGGUAUAAUACUCAUAUAAUACAGAAGGAGAGGAGACGCUCUUAUUCCAGGUAUAAUACUCAUAUAAUACAG